GAUGAACGCUGGCGGCGUGCUUAACACAUGCAAGUCGAACGGAAAGGCCCAAGCUUGCUUGGGUACUCGAGUGGCGAACGGGUGAGUAACACGUGGGUGAUCUGCCCUGCACUUCGGGAUAAGCCUGGGAAACUGGGUCUAAUACCGGAUAGGACCACAUUUUGGAUGGUGUGGUGGAAAGUUUUUCGGUGUGGGAUGAGCUCGCGGCCUAUCAGCUUGUUGGUGGGGUAAUGGCCUACCAAGGCGUCGACGGGUAGCCGGCCUGAGAGGGUGCACGGCCACAUUGGGACUGAGGUACGGCCCAGGCUCCGACGGUUGGCAGCAGUGGGGAAUAUUGCACAAUGGGCGCAAGCCUGAUGCUGCGACGCCGCGUGGGGGAUGACGGCCUUCUGGGUGUAAACUCCUUUCGCUAGGAACGAAGCGUUAUGUGACGGUACCUGGAGAAGAAGCACCGGCUAACUACGUG
rnacentral:rRNA from 1 species